rnacentral:misc_RNA from 1 species
GAAAUGCGAUAAGUAGUGUGAAUUGCAGAAUUCAGUGAAUCAUCGAAUCUUUGAACGCACAUUGCGCCCUUUGGUAUUCCUUAGGGCAUGCCUGUUCGAGCGUCAUCUAAACCUUCAAGCCCUGCUUGGUGUUGGGUGCCUGUCCCGCCUCCGCGCGCGGACUCACCUCAAAUCCAUUGGCGGCCCCCGCGUCGGCCACGAGCGCAGCAGAAACGCGAACUCGUGAGCCCGUCCGGGCGGCUCCCAGAAGCCACACCCACCCAGUUUGACCUCGGAUCAGGUAGGGAUACCCGCUGAACUUAAGC